GCUGGGGGCACGGUGGCCCUUGCCUGUAGUCCCAGCUACUCGGGAGGCUGAGGCCGGAGGAUCGCUUGAGCCCAGGAGUUCUGGGCUGUAGUGCGCUAUGCCAAUCGGGUGUCCGCACUGAGUUCGGCAUCAAUAUGGUGACCUACUGGGAGCGAGGGACCACCAGGUUGCCUAAGGAGGGGUGAACCAGCCCAGGUCGGAAACGGAGCAGGUCAAAACUCCUAUGCUGAUCAAUAGUGGGAUCGCGCCUGUGAAUAGCCACUGCACUCCAGCCUGGGCAACAUAGCGAGACCCUGUCCCU
rnacentral:SRP_RNA from 1 species